rnacentral:rRNA from 1 species
AUUGAACGCUGGCGGCAGGCCUAACACAUGCAAGUCGAACGAGUGGCGGACGGGUGAGUAAUGUCUGGGAAACUGCCUGAUGGAGGGGGAUAACUACUGGAAACGGUAGCUAAUACCGCAUACCAUCAGAUGUGCCCAGAUGGGAUUAGCUAGUUGGUGGGGUAACGGCUCACCAAGGCGACGAUCCCUAGCUGGUCUGAGAGGAGGACCAGCCACACUUGGACUGAGACACGGUCCAGACUCCCACGGGAGGGAGCAGGGGGGAAUAUUGCACAAUGGGGGGAAGGCUGAUGCAGCCAUGCCGCGUGUAUGAAGAAGGCCUUCGGGUUGUAAAGUACUUUCAGCGGGGAGGCGUUACCCGCAGAAGAAGCCCCGGCUUACUCCGGGGCAGCCGCCGCGGUAAUAC